rnacentral:rRNA from 1 species
UACGGAGGGUGCAAGCGUUGUCCGGAUUUAUUGGGUUUAAAGGGUGCGUAGGCGGCUUAUUAAGUCAGUGGUGAAAGCCUGCAGCUUAACUGCAGAACUGCCAUUGAUACUGAUGAGCUUGAAUAUACUUGAGGUGGGCGGAAUGUGUCAUGUAGCGGUGAAAUGCUUAGAUAUGACACAGAACACCGAUUGCGAAGGCAGCUCGCUAAAGUAUGAUUGACGCUGAGGCACGAAAGCGUGGGGAGCAAACAGG